rnacentral:rRNA from 1 species
AUUGAACGCUGGCGGCAUGCCUAACACAUGCAAGUCGAGCGAGCGGCGGACGGGUGAGUAAUGUCUGGGAAACUGCCUGAUGGAGGGGGAUAACUACUGGAAACGGUAGCUAAUACCGCAUCCCAUCAGAUGUGCCCAGAUGGGAUUGGCUAGUAGGUGGGGUAACGGCUCACCUAGGCGACGAUCCCUAGCUGGUCUGAGAGGAUGACCAGCCACACUGGAACUGAGACACGGUCCAGACUCCUACGGGAGGCAGCAGUGGGGAAUAUUGCACAAUGGGCGCAAGCCUGAUGCAGCCAUGCCGCGUGUGGGAAGAAGGCCGUCGGGUUGUAAAGCACUAUCAGAGGGGAGGCGUUACCCGCAGAAGAAGCACCGGCUAACUCCGUGCCAGCCGCCGCGGUAAUAC